CCUAAAGUUUUUAUCUAAAAUCUCAAAAUACUCUAAAGAUCGCACACUUCGUAGUUCCUCUUCUUCCUUCACCUCUAUGCUUUUCACUACUUUUCUCUCAUCAGGAAUGUCUCUUCCUCCGUUCUCCUAUCCCCUAUUUAUAGGAGUAGAGAGCCACGAGGAAAAGAUUACCAUCAUUCUGUCUUACUAUUUCAUCUAAAAAUUGUC
rnacentral:lncRNA from 1 species